ACGGAGGGUGCGAGCGUUAAUCGGAAUUACUGGGCGUAAAGCGUGCGCAGGCGGUUUCUUAAGUCAGAUGUGAAAUCCCCGGGCUCAACCUGGGAACUGCGUUUGAGACUGCGAGACUUGAGUGCGGCAGAGGGGGGUGGAAUUGCAGGUGUAGCAGUGAAAUGCGUAGAGAUGUGGAGGAACACCGGUGGCGAAGGCGGCCCCCUGGGUCGAUACUGACGCUCA
rnacentral:rRNA from 1 species